GCUAGGUAUGGUGGUACGCACCUGCAGUCCCAGCUCCUUGGGAGGUUGGCGAGAGGAUCGCUUGAGCCCAGGAGUUCUGGACAGUGGUGUGCUAAUGCCAGCUGGGUUUUUGAACUAAGUUCAGCAUCAGUGUGGUGACCUCCCAUGAGCAGGUAACAACUAGAUUGCCUAAGAACGGGUGAACUGACCCAGGUGGGAAAUGGAAUAGGUCACUCCAGUGCUGAUCAGUAGUGGGAUCACACUUAUGAAUAGCUACUGCACUCCAGUCUGGGCAGCGUAGGGAGACCCUGUCUCU
rnacentral:SRP_RNA from 1 species